CAAUCACGCAAUGAGGGUCCUGUACCUGGUGCUUCUCUAUCAUGUCAGUGCGCAGCUUCAGUGUGACAAAUCCAUUAUCAGUGCCACAGUUGGAGGAAGGUUUAAUGUUGCCUGCACAUACAACACAAACCAGUUCCGCUUCAGUAAGAAGUACUGGUGUUUUGGGGAGUCCAGGAGCUCUUGUGAUAUUGUGAUGGAUACAGACGGCUUCACCAAAGCUGAGCUCAAGAGUCGGGCUCAGAUCACUGAGACCUACAGAACCUUUAAUAUUUUAAUGACAGGACUGCAGGUGGGAGACAGGGGAGUCUACUGGGCUGCAAUUGACAAGAUGUAUGCUGAUAUCAUGUUUAAGAUCCAGGUUGAAGUAAAAGAGGGUAAGAAUUAGUUUGUAUACUUUCUAGUAAAUAUUAUAGAAUGUUGUAUGUCCAUACUUAUGUUUUUUCUUCAAGAGCAGAGCUGAAU
ensembl:lncRNA